GCCGAGGUGGCGGAAUUGGGAGACGCGGUUGACUCAAAAUCAACUGGGGUUGACGCCCCAUGCGGGUUCGAGUCCCGCCCUCGGCACCA
rnacentral:tRNA from 13 species